rnacentral:rRNA from 1 species
AUACGUAGGUGACAAGCGUUAUCCGGAUUUACUGGGCGUAAAGGGCGUGUAGGCGGUCUUGCAAGUCAGAAGUGAAAUUCCUGAGCUCAACUCGGGCGCUGCUUCUGAAACUGCAGGACUUGAGUGCUGGAGGGGAUAGCGGAAUUCCUAGUGUAGCGGUGAAAUGCGUAGAUAUUAGGAGGAACACCGGUGGCGAAGGCGGCUUACUGGACAUUAACUGACGUUGAGGCGCGAAAGUGUGGGGAGCAAACAGGAUUAGAUACCCUGGUAGUCCACACUGUAAACGAUGGAUACUAGGUGUGGGAGGUAUCGACCCCUUCCGUGCCGGAGUUAACACAAUAAGUAUCCCACCUGGGGAGUACGGCCGCAAGGUUGAAACUCAAAUGAAUUGGCGGGG